rnacentral:rRNA from 1 species
UACGGGGGGGGCAAGCGUUGUGCGGAAUUACUGGGCGUAAAGGGCUCGUAGGUGGCCAACUAAGUCAGACGUGAAAUCCCUCAGCUUAACUGGGGAACUGCGUCUGAUACUGGAUGGCUUGAGUUUGGGAGAGGGACGCGGAAUUCCAGGUGUAGCGGUGAAAUGCGUAGAUAUCUGGAGGAACACCGGUGGCGAAGGCGGCGUCCUGGACCAACACUGACACUGAUGAGCGAAAGCCAGGGGAGCAAACGGG